GAGGACAAAGGGGGAGCAACGAGAGUUGGAGCUGACAAGAAACCAGAUAUUUGUCCUCGCAGACGAACGCCACUUUGCUCAUCCUGCUGGUUCCUGGUGUUGUCCCCCUGCUGUGGCUCAACAUCUGUGGGUUCCAAGCAGUCCCCUUCACUGAUGCACAGAUUGUGCAGGAUGGCACUGCAGGCAAUUCAUUUUACGGCAAAGAGCGUGCCCUGGCGUGGUGCCGGUUGUAACGGGCCUCAACAGCAUUCCUCCCGGGUUCCCUGUACGGUGUCAGCAGCGUGAUGGCAUGUGCAAUGCAUGGAUACCCACCGUCACCCAAAAGGAUGUAUCCUCCAGCCGUCGAUGCUCCCCACAACCUUUUGCACGGCAGCAGACCCUGCGAGCUGCUCAAAACCAGUGGCGACUAACGGCAGUUCAUCCACGCUGGGGAGCCGGAUGACCCUGCGCAUCAGCUGAAGGAUGUGGUCUGCCGUUCUGUGGACAAUGUCACUCGCAGUGGACCGUAGUAUGUCAAAGGCUCUGGCCACCACGCGGUAAGAAGUGCCACACUCCAGCCAGAAAAGGAACACCAGAACCUCAAUGUGCCCAUCCCAGAGCAUGAGGAACCUGAAGCUGCUCCACCAGACGUCUUAUGGUCCUGCGGGUCAACAGAAAAUCUGGUCUUGUGUCAGACUGACCGUCAGCGUAGAGGGCCAGGAGAGGCACCUUUGUGUUGGCAUAGCAGUACAGCUGUGGAAGACCCUGUUAAAUGUAACAUUAAUCAUUUAAUCUAUAAAUAAAGUUAUCUGUGGAAUGUUUUGGUUCAUUA